GUAAGACAACUCAAUGUCAUAUUUACUGACAUGAAUAGAAGCAUAUAGAAGCAAUCUAUCAAAUGUAUUUUAUAAAGCCCCGUUUCCAUCAGAAGUUGUCACAAAGUGCUUAAGCAGAUACCCAGGUUAAAGGCAGGAACCUAGAGAGGAACCAGGCUCUGGGGGGUGGCCAGUACUCUUCUGUCUGUGCUGGUGGAGAUUAUAAAAGAGUACAGCCAUUUAGGCCAGAUUAUUCUUCAAGACGUUUCAGCGUUCAUAGAUGACUAGCAGUGUCAAAUAAUAGAGGGUGCAAUAGUUCAGCACCUCAGGUGUAAAUGCCAGUUGGCUCUUCGUAGCUGAGCAUUUAGAGGUUGAGACAGUAGGUCCGGUAGAGAGAGGCAGGAUCAAACAGCGGGUCUGGGACAAGGUAGUACCUCCGGUGAGCCUUGAGCAGGUCAGGGUUCCAUAGCUGCAGACAGAAAUAGCAGAGACUGGAUCAGCAGCACGACCAGAUGGACUGGAGACAGGGAAAGCCAGGAGUCGUCAGGUCAGAUCUGCCAACCUGCUCGGUGGGUGACAGGUAACCGUCUUUCCACCAAGCUGUUCCAGGCCUGGAGUGCCACGCUGGAACUUCCAGAGGCUUGUAGACCUGAAGCAGUGUGAUGUGGUCCUGAUCUGCCACGCCCAGUAGUUCAGCUGCAGUCACAGCAGUCUUCUGCUGUGGUAGUUAAUUUACCGGCUGCACCAAUGCCUACUACACUGGCCGUGAAAGGAGAAACCUUUUGGUAUUCCUUGAUGGAUACAGAUCUUCCAUGCACUCCACCACUGCCUGACAGCCUCACCCAGAAGUGCAUACACGGGGCCUAUCAGAGAUGGGUGGCUGUUAAGGAAAAAUAAAACAUGCACACACACACACAUUAUCCACAAUGUAAAUAAGUUGUAAUUACUUAAUAUUUGCUCCAUUUUAUUUUAGGAUUAUAGAUAUCUACUCCUUUAUAGCCAUUCUCAAUAUCUACAUAAUUACUCAAACUAUCUAUCAAAUCAAAGUGUGAUUGAUAAUAUUGUAAAAGACUAUGGCUUAAUGUGUACAGUUUGAGGAAAUUAUGAGUGCUUUUUUUCUGAGUUGAAAAACAUGCCUCGCUCACACACAUUGGACCCAAUGUAAAUCAGUUGUAAUAACUUGUUUAUUUUAUGUAUGGUUAAUUUUAUUUGAGGAAAAUAUCUGCAAUAAAGUACAUUCACAGUUAAAGCAA
rnacentral:lncRNA from 1 species